UACGAGGGGGGCAAGCGUUGUUCGGAAUUAUUGGGCGUAAAGGGCGCGUAGGCGGUUUGAUAAGUCUGAUGUGAAAGCCCACGGCUCAACCGUGGAGGGUCAUUGGAAACUGGGGGACUUGAGUACAGAAGAGAAGAGUGGAAUUCCACGUGUAGCGGUGAAAUGCGUAGAGAUGUGGAGGAACACCAGUGGCGAAGGCGACUCUUUGGUCUGUAACUGACGCUGAGGCGCGAAAGCGUGGGGAGCAAACAGG
rnacentral:rRNA from 1 species